UACGAAGGGGGCUAGCGUUGUUCGGAAUCACUGGGCGUAAAGCGCACGUAGGCGGAUUCUUAAGUCAGGGGUGAAAUCCCGAGGCUCAACCUCGGAACUGCCUUUGAUACUGGGAAUCUUGAGUAUGGUAGAGGUUGGUGGAACAGCAAGUGUAGAGGUGAAAUUCGUAGAUAUUUGCUAGAACACCAGUGGCGAAGGCGGCCAACUGAACCAUAACUGACGCUGAGGUGCGAAAGCGUGGGGAGCAAACAGG
rnacentral:rRNA from 1 species